UCUACGGGAGGCUGCAGUGAGGAAUAUUGGUCAAUGGGCGUAAGCCUGAACCAGCGAAGUCGCGUGAGGGAUGAAGGUUCUAUGGAUCGUAAACCUCUUUUAUAAGGGAGUAAAGUGCGGGACGUGUCCAGUUUUGUAUGUACCUUAUGAGUAAGGAUAGGCUAACGCCGUGCCAGCAGCCGCGGUAAUACGGAGGAUCCGAGCGUUAUCCGGAUUUAAUGGGCUUAAAGGGAGCGUAGGCGGUCUUUUAAGUCAGGGGUGAAAGCCUGUGGCUCAACCAUAGAAUUGCCGUUGAAACUGGGAGGCUGGAGUAUGUGAGAGGAUGGCGGAAUGCGAGGUGUAGCGGUGAAAUGCUUAGAUAUCUGGCAGAACCCCGAUUGCGAAGGCAGCUUGC
rnacentral:rRNA from 1 species